rnacentral:tRNA from 1 species
UGGCUCAGUUGGUAGAGCAUGGCACUUACAACGCCAGGAUUGUGGGUUAGCUUCCCGU